ensembl:snRNA U6 U6 spliceosomal RNA
UUGCUCGCUUCGGCAGCACAUAUACUAAAAUCGGAAUGAUACAGAGAAGAUUAGCAUGGCUCCUGCACAAGGAUGACAUGCAAAUUCGUGAAGCGUUCCAUAUUUUU